GUUGUAUAGUUAAGUGACUAAGCGUACAAGGUGGAUGCCUUGGCAAUCAGAGGCGAAGAAGGACGUGCUAAUCUGCGAAAAGCUUGGAUGAGUCGAUAAGAGGCGUUUAAUCCAAGAUAUCCGAAUGGGGAAACCCAGUAGAUGAAGAAUCUACUAUCACUUACUGAAUACAUAGGUAAGUGAGGCAAACCGGGAGAACUGAAACAUCUAAGUACCCCGAGGAAAAGAAAUCAACCGAGAUUUCGUCAGUAGCGGCGAGCGAAAGCGAAAGAGCCUGUUAAUGAUAGCAGCAGAGAUAGAGGAAUAAGCUGGGAAGCUUAGCGACACAGGGUGAUAGCCCCGUACUCGACAUCCAGGCUGUGGUACUAAGUUAACGAGAAGUAGGGCGGGACACGUGAUAUCCUGUUUGAAGAUGGGGGGACCAUCCUCCAAGGCUAAAUACUCCUGAUUGACCGAUAGUGAACCAGUACUGUGAAGGAAAGGCGAAAAGAACCCCGGUGAGGGGAGUGAAAUAGAACCUGAAACCUUGUACGUACAAGCAGUGGGAGCCUGAAAGGGUGACUGCGUACCUUUUGUAUAAUGGGUCAGCGACUUAUAUUUUGUAGCGAGGUUAACCGAAUAGGGGAGCCGAAGGGAAACCGAGUCUUAACUGGGCGAAUAGUUGCAAGGUAUAGACCCGAAACCCGGUGAUCUAGCCAUGGGCAGGUUGAAGGUUGGGUAACACUAACUGGAGGACCGAACCGACUAAUGUUGAAAAAUUAGCGGAUGACUUGUGGCUGGGGGUGAAAGGCCAAUCAAACCGGGAGAUAGCUGGUUCUCCCCGAAAUCUAUUUAGGUAGAGCCUUGAGCGGACACCUUUGGGGGUAGAGCACUGUUUCGGCUAGGGGUCCAUCCCGGAUUACCAACCCGAUGCAAACUACGAAUACCAAAGAGUGAUACUCAGGAGACACACGGCGGGUGCUAACGUCCGUCGUGGAGAGGGAAACAACCCAGACCGCCAGCUAAGGUCCCAAAGUCUAUAUUAAGUGGGAAACGAAGUGGGAAGGCUUAGACAGCUAGGAUGUUGGCUUAGAAGCAGCCAUCAUUUAAAGAAAGCGUAAUAGCUCACUAGUCGAGUCGGCCUGCGCGGAAGAUGUAACGGGGCUGAAAUAUAGCACCGAAGCUGCGGCAUCAG
rnacentral:rRNA from 1 species